rnacentral:rRNA from 1 species
UACCAGCACCCCGAGUGGUCGGGACGAUUAUUGGGCCUAAAGCAUCCGUAGCCGGUCCUACAAGUCUUCCGUUAAAUCCACCUGCUCAACAGAUGGGCUGCGGAAGAUACUAUAGGGCUAGGAGGCGGGAGAGGCAAGCGGUACUCAGUGGGUAGGGGUAAAAUCCUCUGAUCCAUUGAAGACCACCAGUGGCGAAGGCGGCUUGCCAGAACGCGCUCGACGGUGAGGAUGAAAGCUGGGGAGCAAAGC